rnacentral:rRNA from 1 species
UACACUCCUGCGGGAGGCAGCAGUGGGGAAUAUUGCACAAUGGGCGCAAGCCUGAUGCAGCCAUGCCGCGUGUAUGAAGAAGGCCUUCGGGUUGUAAAGUACUUUCAGCGGGGAGGAAGGCGAUAAGGUUAAUAACCUUGUUGAUUGACGUUACCCGCAGAAGAAGCACCGGCUAACUCCGUGCCAGCAGCCGCGGUAAUACGGAGGGUGCAAGCGUUAAUCGGAAUUACUGGGCGUAAAGCGCACGCAGGCGGUCUGUCAAGUCGGAUGUGAAAUCCCCGGGCUCAACCUGGGAACUGCAUUCGAAACUAGCAGGCUAGAGUCUUGUAGAGGGGUGUAGAAUUCCAGGUGUAGCUGUGAAAUGCGUAGAGAUCUGGAGGAAUACCGGUGGCGAAGGCGGCCCCCUGGACAAAGACUGACGCUCAGGUGCGAAAGCGUGGGGAGCAAACAGGAUUAGAAACCCCAGUAGUCCCA